GAUGAACGCUGGCGGCGUGCCUAAUACAUGCAAGUCGAGCGAACGGACGAGGAGCUUGCUUUUCUGAUGUUAGCGGCGGACGGGUGAGUAACACGUGGAUAACCUACCUAUAAGACUGGGAUAACUUCGGGAAACCGGAGCUAAUACCGGAUAAUAUUUUGAACCGCAUGGUUCAAAAGUGAAAGACGGUCUUGCUGUCACUUAUAGAUGGAUCCGCGCUGCAUUAGCUAGUUGGUAAGGUAACGGCUUACCAAGGCAACGAUGCAUAGCCGACCUGAGAGGGUGAUCGGCCACACUGGAACUGAGACACGGGCCAGGCUCCUACGGGAGGCAGCAGUAGGGAAUCUUCCGCAAUGGGCGAAAGCCUGACGGAGCAACGCCGCGUGAGUGAUGAAGGUCUUCGGAUCGUAAAACUCUGUUAUUAGGGAAGAACAUAUGUGUAAGUAACUGUGCACAUCUUGACGGUACCUAAUCAGAAAGCCACGGCUAACUACGU
rnacentral:rRNA from 1 species